rnacentral:rRNA from 1 species
CCUACGGGUGGCAGCAGUGGGGAAUCUUUCACAAUGGGGGAAACCCUGAUGCAGCGACGCCGCGUGAGUGAAGAAGUACCUCGGUAUGUAAACCUCUAUCAGCAGCGAGAAAAAUGACGGUACCUGAUGAAGAAGCACCGGCUAACUACGUGCCAGCAGCCGCGGUCAUACGUAGGGGCCCAGCGUUAUCCGGAUUUACUGGGUGUAAAGGGAGCGUAGACGGAUAUGAAAGUGUGAAGGGAAAGGGGGGGGUCCAAACCUCAGACUCCUUUGGAAACUGUAUGGCUGGAGAGCCGGAGAGGUAAGUGGAAUUCGUAGUGUAGCGGUGAAAUGCGUAGAUAUUAGAAAGAACACCAAUGGCGAAGGCAGCUUACUGGAAUGUAACUGACAUUGAGGCACGAAAGCGUGGGGAGCAAACAGGAUUAGAUACCCGAGUAGUC